rfam:Heligmosomoides polygyrus genome assembly, scaffold: HPBE_scaffold0002034
GCGCCGUUGGUGUAAUGGCGUAGAGCAUUCCCGCCCGGUUAGAGGGAGGUGCGGGUUCGAGUCCCGCCUGGCGCU